CCUACGGGCGGCAGCAGUGGGGAAUAUUGGGCAAUGGGCGCAAGCCUGACCCAGCAACGCCGCGUGAAGGAAGAAGGCUUUCGGGUUGUAAACUUCUUUUCUCAGGGACGAAGCAAGUGAAGGUACCUGAGGAAUAAGCCACGGCUAACUACGUGCCAGCAGCCGCGGUAAUACGUAGGUGGCAAGGGUUAGUCGGAUUUACUGGGUGUAAAGGGCGUGGAGGCGGGGACGCAAGUCAGAUGUGAAAACCACGGGCUCAACCUGUGGACUUCAUUUGAAACUGUGUUUCUUGAGUACUGGAGGGGCAGACGGAAUUCCUAGUGUAGCGGUGAAAUGCGUAGAUAUUAGGAGGAACACCAGUGGCGAAGGCGGUCUGCUGGACAGCAACUGACGCUGAGGCGCGAAAGCGUGGGGAGCAAACAGGAUUAGAUACCCGUGUAGUC
rnacentral:rRNA from 1 species